UGAAAUGUAUCUCAGUGGUAGGGAACUUACCUGGCAUGUAAGAGGCCCUGAGUUCAAUUCCAAGUAUGGUCAA
rnacentral:tRNA from 1 species